GUGAGUAACGCGUAGGUAACCUGCCUGGUAGCGGGGGAUAACUAUUGGAAACGAUAGCUAAUACCGCAUAAGAGUAGAUGUUGCAUGACAUUUGCUUAAAAGGUGCAAUUGCAUCACUACCAGAUGGACCUGCGUUGUAUUAGCUAGUUGGUGGGGUAACGGCUCACCAAGGCGACGAUACAUAGCCGACCUGAGAGGGUGAUCGGCCACACUGGGACUGAGACACGGCCCAGACUCCUACGGGAGGCAGCAGUAGGGAAUCUUCGGCAAUGGACGGAAGUCUGACCGAGCAACGCCGCGUGAGUGAAGAAGGUUUUCGGAUCGUAAAGCUCUGUUGUAAGAGAAGAACGAGUGUGAGAGUGGAGAGUUCACACUGUGACGGUAUCUUACCAGAAAGGGACGGCUAACUACGUGCCAGCAGCCGCGGUAAUACGUAGGUCCCGAGCGUUGUCCGGAUUUAUUGGGCGUAAAGCGAGCGCAGGCGGUUAGAUAAGUCUGAAGUUAAAGGCUGUGGCUUAACCAUAGUACGCUUUGGAAACUGUUUAACUUGAGUGCAAGAGGGGAGAGUGGAAUUCCAUGUGUAGCGG
rnacentral:rRNA from 1 species